CUGGAGGAAGGUGGGGAUGACGUCAAGUCAUCAUGGCCCUUACGGCCAGGGCUACACACGUGCUACAAUGGUCGGUACAAAGGGUUGCCAAGCCGCGAGGUGGAGCUAAUCCCAUAAAACCGAUCGUAGUCCGGAUCGCAGUCUGCAACUCGACUGCGUGAAGUCGGAAUCGCUAGUAAUCGUGAAUCAGAAUGUCACGGUGAAUACGUUCCCGGGCCUUGUACACACCGCCCGUCACACCAUGGGAGUGGGUUGCUCCAGAAGUAGCUAGUCUAACCGCAAGGGGGACGGUUACCACGGAGUGAUUCAUGACUGGGGUGAAGUCGUAACAAGGUAGCCGUAGGGGAACCUGCGGUUGGAUCACCU
rnacentral:rRNA from 1 species